rnacentral:rRNA from 1 species
GACCCAAAUUAAUAGACACCCGGCGUAAAGAGUGUCAAAGAACAAUAUAAAAAUAAAGUCAAACCUUAAUUAAGCCGUAAAAAGCCAUAAUUAAAAUUAAGCUAAACUACGAAAGUAACUUUACCAUAAACUGAGUACACGACAGCUAAGACCCAAACUGGGAUUAGAUACCCCACUAUGCUUAGUCGUAAACUUAAAUAGUCCUAAAACAAGACUAUUCGCCAGAGUACUAUCGGCAACAGCCCAAAACUCAAAGGACUUGGCGGUGCUUCAUAUCCUUCUAGAGGAGCCUGUUCUGUAAACGAUAAACCACGAUUAACCUCACCAAUCCUUGCUACUU